rnacentral:rRNA from 1 species
AUUGAACGCUGGCGGCAUGCCUAACACAUGCAAGUCGAACGGGGCAGCAAUGCCUAGUGGCGGACGGGUGAGGAAUACGUAGGAAUCUGCCCUUAAGUGGGGGAUAACCAGGGGAAACCCUGACUAAUACCGCAUGAUCUCUUCGGAGCAAAGAGGGGGACCGCAAGGCCUCUCGCUUCUGGAUGAGCCUACGUCUGAUUAGCUAGUUGGUAGGGUAAAGGCCCACCAAGGCGACGAUCAGUAACUGGUCUGAGAGGAUGAUCAGCCACAUUGGGACUGAGACACGGUCCGGACUCCUACGGGAGGCAGCAGUGGGGAAUAUUGGACAAUGGGCGAAAGCCUGAUCCAGCGACGCCGCGUGGGUGAAGAAGGCCUGCGGGUUGUAAAGCCCUUUCGGUAGGGACGAAAGCUCUCGACCUAACACGUCGGGAGGUUGACUUAACCUACAAAAGAAGCACCGGCUAACUCUGUGCCAGCCGCCGCCGUAAGAC